rnacentral:rRNA from 1 species
AUACGUAGGUGGCGAGCGUUGUCCGGAAUUACUGGGUGUAAAGGGCGUGUAGGCGGGUAUUUAAGUCAGAUGUGAAAUGCCGGGGCUCAACCCCGGAGCUGCAUUUGAAACUGAAUAUCUUGAGUGUCGGAGAGGAAAGCGGAAUUCCUAGUGUAGCGGUGAAAUGCGUAGAUAUUAGGAGGAACACCAGUGGCGAAGGCGGCUUUCUGGACGAUAACUGACGCUGAGGCGCGAAAGCGUGGGGAGC